AAUUAGACGAUGACAGGGAAAGUAAAUUCUUCACACACUUAUUUUUAGCGAACCGGGGAUGGUGAAAGCCCGGAAUAAGCGAAGAUAUUGAAGAUCACCCUUGAGUUCUGAGUUGAACCUGCUUUUGCAGUAAGUAAAUGAAGCGUUUCAUUCACGUUACGAAUGCUCGAGAGGUUGGAUUCACUUCGUGAAUCUUUCUAGCCAGGGUGGUACCGCGGGAAGCAAAGCUUUCUCGUCCCUUUU
rnacentral:ncRNA from 1 species